CCUACGGGGGGCAGCAGUGGGGAAUCUUGCACAAUGGGGGAAACCCUGAUGCAGCGACGCCGCGUGAGUGAAGAAGUAUUUCGGUAUGUAAAGCUCUAUCAGCAGGGAAGUAAAAAGACGGUCCCUUACUAAGAAGCCCCGACUAACUACGUGCAAGCAGCCGCGUUAAUACGUAGGGGGCAAGCGUUAUCCGGAUGUACUGGGUGUAAAGGGAGCGUAGACGGAGAAGCAAGUCUGAAGUGAAAGCCCGUGGCUUAACCACGGUACUGCUUUGGAAACUGUUUGACUAGAGUGCUGGAGAGGUAAGUGGAAUUCGUGGGGUAGCGGUGAAAUGCGUAGAUAUUAGGAGGAACACCAGUGGCGAAGGCGGCUUACUGUACAGUAACUGACGGUGAGGCUCGAAAGCGCGGGGAGCAAACAGGAUUAGAUACCCGGGUAGUC
rnacentral:rRNA from 1 species